rnacentral:lncRNA from 1 species
AAAUAAAAAAGAUCUGAUAAACAUACAUGUGAAGUUCUUUUCAUAUGAAAAUUCAAUGUCAUUAAAAAGGUUACUUUUUUUACAUAUUUAUUUUAUUUUAUUUAUUUAAGGAAUGACUGUAAUAUUUUUUAUGUUAUUUCGAAUAGACUGACAAAAUAUUACAGUUAUUUCUUAAUAUAAUUUAAUUCUAAAUUCCAUUUUAAACCGGCGUAAAUCAUGAAAAACCGUUGAUAACUGAUGUCAUGGUCACAUGACAAAAUUGUGUCUAUGAUAUGAUAAACAAAGCGACUUCAGCCAAUCAGAAGACAUGUUACAUCCAAAAUUAUUAGUUUAUAAUGGUCAGAGAAAACUACUGUUGUCAAAAUUACUGAAAUGAUAAAAUGCGUGAAAAUAAUACAAGAGUAAAAAUUCUUACUUAGUUGUGAUUGUUUAAGUGAUUUUUUCAAUUGAAUAUUGUAACAUUAUGUAAGUUUAAGAGAAAAUAAUAAAAUUUGUAAAAAGUUA